rnacentral:tRNA from 1 species
GAGUGGCUAGCUCAGUUGGUAGAGCACCGGCCUUUUAAGCCGAGGGUCGGGGGUUCAAAUCCCCCGCCACUCA